UGUACUUUGGUGUUUGGUGUACUUCACAGAAGGUAGAAGGUGUACUUGCUCCUUGCUCCGUGUCCGUGGUCCGUGCAGUGAGUGCUUUACCCGACAUCAAACGCGUUAUGUUGAGUUAAUUCUUUUUUUUUUGCAACAAAAUGGAUUCAGAUUCCUCAGUGUCCUCUGAUGAGAUUGACUGGCUAGGGGUAAAUUGUGGUGUUUUUGAAGAUGAAGAUGAUGUGGUCAAUGUCGUCAAUGACGGAAAUUCCCGAGUAUUUGACAACGGUGUUAACGAUGUUAAAAAAAUCAAAAACUUUUCCCGGGAAAAUACAGCGGCGGCUGCGUGUUCCAUUUUGCAAAAAAAAUAAAAGAAAAAGAGAGACGUCUGGUAACAAAAAUGGCCAUCAUCGGGGGUUUUCUUGAGUACGGACCUGAGAAUAAUCGGUAAUGGUGGUUAUCGUCAGCAUUUAUUAUAAUUUCUUAGCAAUCAUGUUAACUUUAUAUUAUCCCCUUUGUUGAUAAAAAAACCAACUACCUACCUAUGCUAUCUUAUUUUUAAUAAAAUAUAAAUAAUGUUAAUAUGUUUAUUAUAUUUUUCGUUUAGUGCUUGUGUAUUUUCAUUUUAAAACAUUUUUUAUACCACAAUCCCUCAAUAAAUUAUUAUUUAAGAUAUUAAAAUAAACAUUUUUGGGCGUGGCACCCAAACAUUUUCACCUCCGGCGGUCAUUCAGUGCGUCCCGCUUUUUCUUCUUCUAAAUAUG